AAAAAGGCUCUAUAUAUGAAUUUACAAUUUGAAGAUAGCAAAUAUUAUAUUUUGAUAACUAAAUAUAUGUUACGAGCUAUUUCUUGUUUCCAUUCAAAAUUUUAUUAAUAUAUAUAUGUAUUGUGAGCAUGCGCAUAGUAGACAAUGACUAACAACAAGUGGGUCAUAACAGUCUUGGUGAGCCCGGAGGACGACCCCUUGAUGGUCCUCUCCUCGAAUCGCUCGGCUUCAUUUGAACUUUCUUUUGGAAUCCAAUUUGUUUCAACCCAUCUUUCCCUCCUACUGCAAUUCAUAAACACAUCACUAAUAAGAAGAGUCGUACAAACAUUUUUUCAGACAAUCUAAAAAUAUAACGUUAUGGAUGAUGCAGAUUCUAUCUUAGCCAGAUUCUUCUUGAGAGAGUAUACACUAUGAAAAACUUAAUUAAUACGUUAAACACUAAUAAAUAGUGAACCAAUAUCGAAUCGAGCGAUAAACCCAUUAAAACAUCAAGGCAUUCACAGAAUCACAUGUAUAUGCACAUAUAUGCUUUAGAAGAAACAAAGAAUAUAUGUAAAUGCAACAUAUAUCUGUAUGUAUGUAACAAAGAACUCACUGAUUUUGCGGUGUAAUGUUAA
rnacentral:lncRNA from 1 species